rnacentral:lncRNA from 1 species
CUCUUUCACUUUUCUGUCUCCUAUGUGCCCAGUAUAAAUGGGCUUUACUUAUAGGAUACGCUUCAUAAAUGACAAUGAAGGAAACUGAACAGCAGACUGAUUGAUGGAAGGUCACCCAACAGAUCAUUACAGUGAUAAGAGAAAACUGAUGGUAUGUUAGAGAAGUAGAAUGUUCUGUCACUGCAGAUUGACCCUGAUCUACAGCUAGGGAAGAACUGUAUGGGAUUCCACAGACAAUGAGUAUCAAUGGCACAAACUCAUUCUUGAAUUUUUGCCAGUUCAAGAAGAGACUGAGUCAUCGAAUGCUCUAAAUGUCACUUCACCUCAUGUUCUGUCAACACAGAGGGUAACUCAGAGUGGCCAGUUCCACUCAACCAUCCAAGAAAACAAAACAAGAAAAGCAGACAUUAAAAGAGGGCAGUGUUCUGCACUUCACAGGUCUGUGACCUUGGCCAAAUUACUUAACCUCUGUAAGCCUUAAUUUCUUCUUCCUGUGUAACAUGGAGAUGAUGGUAUCUACUUACAGGCAAGAGUUGAGAUAAUAUAUGCAAAAUUCUUGGCAUGGUAGAAUAUUAAUUGAACUAUGAAGAUGAUUGUAUCCACUAUUCCCUUUUCCCUUCUUGGCUAUUUCAUUUCCAUUCAUGUUACUUUGUUUUAUAUAUACACUGCUUUACUGUGUAUGAGAAAAAUGACUGUCCACUGGUAGAAAUAUAGCCUGAGGUUUUUUUUGUUUUUAAUUCUCUCUCUCUCUUUUUUUUUUUUUUUUUUUUUGAGAUAGAGUCUCACUGGAGUGCAGUGGUAUAAUCUUGGCUCACUGCAACCUCUGCCUCCCGGGUUCAAGUGAUCCUCCCACCUCAGCCUCCCAAGUAGCUAAUACUACAUGUGUGUACCACCAUGCCUGGCUAAUUUUUUGUAUGUUCAGUAGAGACAGGGUUUUACCAUGUUUCCCAGGCUUGUCUGGAACUCCUGACCUCGGGUAAUCCACCUGGCUUGGCCUCCCAUGGUGCUGGGAUUACAGGCACAAGCCACCGUGCUGGGCCUUUUUUAAAUUAUCUAACCCUAGCCCCUGAAUUUUUAAAACCACCAUGGAACAUCACUGGAAUGAAAAUGGAGACCAUGUGACUUCUUCAGCUUUCCAAAGAAAACAGGUUUACUGAUUAUACGCAGCUAGAAUGGUUGGCAUAAUUGUUAUGAAUGACAAACCCUUCAAUUCAUUGAUGUGUAUGAGUCAGUGAUGUUGGGAUAAAUGUCUUUGGAUACACAUUACACAGUGCUCCCAGAUGUUUAUAUUCCUUCCCACUCCCUAACCUAAUCCUAAAAUAUUAGCUCUCUAGACAAGAGCAUAAACUGAAAACUCAUAUUUGCUCUUAGGACUCUUUACAAUCAUUUUCACAUGUGAUUAUCUUGGUGUGUACAUAGAGUGGCCAUCUUUGUUUACAAUGAAGACGCGAAAGCCCAAAGGUUGGCUAAU